rnacentral:rRNA from 1 species
AGUGAACGCUGGCGGCGUGCCUAAUACAUGCAAGUCGAACGGAGUGGCGCACGGGUGAGUAAUAUAUAGCUAAUCUGCCCCUUGCUGGAGGACAACAGUGAAAAAUAACUGCUCAUACUCCAUAGCAAGGGAUGAGACUAUAUCGUAUAAGCUAGUCGGUGGGGUAACGGCAUUCCGAGGCUCAGACGCGUAACUGGUCUGCGAGGAUGAGCAGUCACAUUGGAACUGAGACAGGGGCCAAACUCCUACGGGAGGCAGCAGUAGGGAAUAGUGCGCAAUGGGGGAAACCCUGACGCAGCAACGCCGCGUGGAGGAGGACACUUUUCGGAGCGUAAACGCCUUUUGUUAGGGAAUCGGGACCUAACGAAUAAGCACCGGCUAACUCCGUGCCAGCAGCCGCGGUAAUAC